CCUACGGGUGGCAGCAGUGAGGAAUAUUGGUCAAUGGACGAGAGUCUGAACCAGCCAAGUAGCGUGAAGGAUGACUGCCCUAUGGGUUGUAAACUUCUUUUAUAUGGGAAUAAAAUGUUCCACGUGUGGGAUUUUGUAUGUACCAUAUGAAUAAGGAUCGGCUAACUCCGUGCCAGCAGCCGCGGUAAUACGGAGGAUCCGAGCGUUAUCCGGAUUUAUUGGGUUUAAAGGGAGCGUAGGUGGAUUGUUAAGUCAGUUGUGAAAGUUUGCGGCUCAACCGUAAAAUUGCAGUUGAAACUGGCAGUCUUGAGUACAGUAGAGGUGGGCGGAAUGCGUGGUGUAGCGGUGAAAUGCUUAGAUAUCACGAAGAACUCCGAUUGCGAAGGCAGUUCACUGGACUGCAACUGACACUGAGGCUCGAAAGUGUGGGUAUCAAACAGGAUUAGAUACCCUUGCAGUC
rnacentral:rRNA from 1 species